CACCCCCCAGGUGUCCCCAAAAGCCAGGUACCCCGGAGGUUCCCCAGACAUACAACAACACAGCCCUGGUGCUAUGGAAACCAGCCGACACCAAGCCCCCCUGUAGCUACUCUCUGGAGAGGAAGACAGAAGGUGAUGCCAACUGGCUGAUCAUAGCGACUGGAGUGGCUGACUGUUACUACAACGUCACAGGACCUGCCACCAGGGGCGCCUUUAGUUCAGAGUGGCCUGCGUCAACAAGGCUGGACAGGGACCCUACAGCAACACAUCGACAAAGUCAGCCUGGACUCAACAGUAGGCGUGUCCUCUCCAGCAGUGGCCAUUGUGAAGACAAUCUCCUCACCUCCCCCCCACCCUGCCCCAGCCGCUACCACCUUAGUGACUGUUAUCCCAAAGGUCAAACCAGC